AUUGAACGCUGGCGGCAGGCCUAACACAUGCAAGUCGAACGAGUGGCGGACGGGUGAGUAAUGUCUGGGAAAAUGCCCGAUGGAGGGGGAUAACUACUGGAAAAGGUAGCUAAUACCGCUUACCCUCGGAUGUGCCCAGAUGGGAUUAGCUGGUAGGUGAGGUAACGUCUCACCUAGGCGACGCUCCCUAGCUGGGCUGAGAUGAUGAACAGCCACACGGGAACGGAUACACGGUCCAGACUCCUACGGGAGGUAGCGGUGGGGAAGAUUGCACAAUGGGCGCAAGCCUGAUGCAGCCAUGCCGUGUGUAUGAAGAAGGCCUUCGGGUUGUAAAGUACUUUCAGCUGGGAGGCGUUACCCGCAGAAGAAGCACAGGCUAACUCCGGGCCAGCAGCCGCGGUAAUAC
rnacentral:rRNA from 1 species